rnacentral:rRNA from 1 species
CAGUAGGGAAUAUUGGUCAAUGGGUGAGAGCCUGAACCAGCCAUGCCGCGUGCAGGAAGACGGCCUUCUGGGUUGUAAACUGCUUUUAUCUGGGGAUAAAAUGACCGUGCGCGGUUAAUUGAAGGUACCAGAUGAAUAAGCACCGGCUAACUACGUGCCAGCAGCCGCGGUAAUACGUAGGGUGCAAGCGUUGUCCGGAUUUAUUGGGUUUAAAGGGUGCGUAGGCGGCUCGUUAAGUCAGUGGUGAAAUACAACAGCUCAACUGUUGAGGUGCCAAUGAUACUGGCGAGCUUGAGUACAGACGAGGUAGGCGGAAUUGACAGUGUAGCGGUGAAAUGCAUAGAUAUUGUCAAGAACACCGAUAGCGAAGGCAGCUUGCUAGCCUGUAACUGACGCUGAGGCACGAAAGUGUGGGGAUCAAACAGGAUUAGAUACCCUGGUAGUCCACACUGUAAACGAUGAUUACUCGAUGUUGGCGAUACACAGUCAGCGUCUUAGCAAAAGCGAUAAGUAAUCCAC